UACGUAGGGUGCAAGCGUUGUCCGGAAUUAUUGGGCGUAAAGAGCUCGUAGGCGGCUUGUUGCGUCGGCUGUGAAAACCCAUGGCUCAACCGUGGGCUUGCAGCCGAUACGGGCAGGCUGGAGUUCGGUAGGGGAGACUGGAAUUCCUGGUGUAGCGGUGAAAUGCGCAGAUAUCAGGAGGAACACCGGUGGCGAAGGCGGGUCUCUGGGCCGAUACUGACGCUGAGGAGCGAAAGCGUGGGGAGCGAACAGG
rnacentral:rRNA from 1 species